GGUGUUCUCUUCUAGCCGAUGACGUUUAUCUUGUCGUGCCCAUGCUUGUCAGCCCCUCUUCUCUUCAGUCACGUUUUUGGUAGCGGCAGGUUCUCAUCAUUUUUUAGUACCGAGCCCCUAGAAGACAAUAAUCUUCCCGGGUGAAGGGGGGCCAGGGUGAGAGAGGAAAAAUAAGAGGGAGCUGGAGAGUGAAUGAAUGCAGAAUCCUCUACAUUUCUUCUGAAGAGGAUCAGAGCAACGCCGGAGGAGUGACACCUGCUCAGUCACCUGUUCCCUGCUCUCUCAGCUGUGCCCGGGACUCACGCAGAGGGCCCUGCAGAUGCAGGCUGACCUGUUAGUCACUGGCGCAGGGAACUGAUGGCCUGUGGCUCCAGCCCAGCUGCGACCCACUGCUCUGCUGCAGCACACAACAAGAUCCCUCUGGUUUUAAUGGUGGGGUUUUGGCUUGACCCACCCAGUGAAGUGGCAGACCCUGGCCACAGGACGCAGGGGCUCGAACCCCAUUCCGAGAGAGGUGGUAGCCAAGGGAGAGCUGCACGUUGGAGAUGAGGUGGAGGAGUGAUGCUGGAGACCAAUGAGAAAUGUGUCUGAGAAGAAUGAGAAAUGAGAAUGUGUUUGUGUUCCUUGUAUACAGCUGAGUUCAGUAAUGAUGGCAAUUAGGAACAGCUGGGCAAUUUUGAUUUAACAUUAUCCCUCCCAAACGUCAAUCCACUCCCUUCACUUCUUACGGGUUCUAAUUCAUAUCAGUUCUGCUCUUCCCACAGAUGGAUCCAGGAUUCUGGAAGGUAUCCCAUGUCCACUGUGGUCCAGUGCUUUCACUGCCUGUCCUUCAUGACUCCCUGUGUCUUGAGUCAAGACCUCUGAUCGAGCUACUCGAUGGUGAAGUCCAUUUCCAACAAGAAGAUUUAUGCUUAGAAAUUAGCAUUAGCUUCACCAAGGUAAGGACGCCCUUCAUUGUAAUUUGAAUGACUGAAUUAACAGUGUUUGACAUUAUUUAUUUCAUUUCAGCCUCAAUAGCAGAUUGCUCUCUUAGUGUCUUCAAGCAGGCGUAGACGAGUAACAUUCUCUUAAAGGAGUGGAGGAUGGGCUGACCGAGCUUCUGCUGUGGAGUAUCAACGAAACCAAAGUCUGUGGAGAAAUAGCUUUGAAAGAAAGCUAAUUCAGAUGACCAGUUAGGAGUUCAGUAAGGGUCAGUAAUCAAGAGCUCAUUUGUAAAGAAAAUCAGAGAAGACAGAACUGAGAACAGCUUUAAACCACAGGCUCCUCAGAGCUUAUGUUUGUUGGCUGGAAAAGCCAAGGUCCCUGUAAAUAUGAUACAAGAGGCCUGCCUGCAUGUGGUCUGUAUAUCUUGUGUUCUCCACCAGGCUGGUGAAAGUGGUUCUUUUUGUUAAUGCCAUUGCUUCACGUUUUUGAGUUAUGAAAAAUGUAUGAGCUAUCUGAACUCCAAAAAAGGUUGUAACCAUUUCUCAAACUCACAGUCUUUAACAAUUGUGUUUCCCAGGAUCUUUAAAUAUCAUUUACACAUUAAAUAGCAUUCAUAAAUAGUGUGAAAUAGUACACUGUAGGAUUACAUAGUGAAAUGAAUAACUUUGAACAACGAUUGGGCACAAAGUAAUGAUUGGAACAAAAUUGCAUUCACUGUACAUUGAAAAUUUCAUUGUCUAAGAAGAAUGGGGAAAAUAAAUUAGUUUCUGGACAGAUUAUAAAUAAAAUCCCUUUCAGACUAUCAAGAGAUAGUUUGUUUCAUGAACAAAUCCUCUCCGAUUCCUUGAAAUCUUUAUCAUCCUAUAGAGAGUUCUAUAAUAAACACUACAGGAUGUUAUGGGGCAUUUUAUGUGGAAGGAAAGGAAAAUACCAGUGAUGAUCUCUGUGUCUCAGGUGCUUUCAGCAGUACAAUUUUAUCACUGAAAUUAAUUGGAGUAUCUAACCUUUAUUAUAGAGUUUAUUUAAAUAUGAAACUGCAAGUACACCAGUUUAAACAUUUUCAUUUUGGUAUAUUUUCAUUGCCAGAAUGUAGUAGCUAUUUCAAGUUUGUAGUGUUGGUGGAGAAUUUAUUUUCAUCAAAAUCAAACCAGUUGAAAUACUAUCAAACAUAAAGUUGGUGUUCUUUCACAGACCAAGCCUAGCCUAAUUUCUCAAUCUCUCAGCAAACAGAUUCCGCAGCAGAUAUGGAUAAAAUUGAUUCUUCACAGUCUGGUGGUUAGGAGAGUUUCCACAGGUAUGUUCUCCAUGCUCCGGACUUUUAAUAGAAGAAGAGCUUUCGCUGUCCAGUAAAAAAAAUUAAUCUGCUUUUAUCUUUUACCAGCAGGCAAAUUAAAAUUCGUGGCCCUAUUUUUCCUUGCCUGCCUCCACGUUGUUUGGUGAGAAAUUGUGCAGUUUGCAUUUGACUUUGGAGAAGAGACACUUCACAACCUGUCUCACUCUUAGUUUUCUGAUUGCUGCAAAUGUUUUGCCACACAUUCACCUAGGACCAUUCAAUACCUUUCUUGCAGUUUGCCCCGAAAAAGCCUUUCUAGUGGAGAGCAAUGGAUCAUUCACCUCAGCAUGCAAUCUGUGAAUGUCUACGAACCAAAGAGUUAAUGACACAGAACUAAUGCAGAAUCAUUUCCAAUGCAAUUUCAUUCAUCUCAUGAGGUCUAGCAUCAGUCUGGAGGUUGAUAGAAAUUAUUCAUUGCUGCUGGAGGACACUGUGUAAUAGGAUUACUGAACUGGUCACAUAAUACAUUUAUGAGUAUCCUGAAGGGAGUUUCAAGCACAUGCAGCAUCUUGAUUUUCUGAUUAGAGAGUGGGUCCACUAGCUUCCACUGCUCAGCAUAUUCAGUACUUUAAAUGGCUGAGCUAACUGCAGACAUGAAAAUUGCAGUAUUUUAGUACCAUUCAGGCAGUUAUAAGUAGGGUCACAUUAUGUCUGUGCUGUAUGAAAACAUCUCAUGUGCUGUCAUAUCCAGUACUAGGUUUUGUGUUUGCUUGACUUUAAGUGUAUAGUUUCCUUAACAAGCACAGUCAAUCAGCCUGAACGCUCAUGUGCAAAAUAAUUGUUGGCUUUUUGUAACGGAAAAAAUACGUGGUGACAGAGCAGAGAUCUCCGAUAAUACCGAACAUAUUUUAUUGCGUUUUUAUAAAAACACAGUUAAUAUGACCCCUUUAGUCAUAUAAUUAACACAAUCUAAAUUGUGAAUGAGAUAAGAGUAAACUGUAUCAUGAGUUUGACACUGAAAUGAAUUCUGCUUAGCCCCGUAUUGCUUGCGGUGAUUUCAUUACUUAUUCAUGCACCAUUCAAAUGAAAUCAUGCUUAAUUAAUGAAAACUCUUUCCGGGUCGUACAUUCUCCAGUGACGUUCGAAAAUCAGGACUUUUCUCAGAAGAUCUUGGGGGGAUAUGAAGUCAUUUAUUUAAAUAUGACUGCCCUCAGAUCCCUCUAUUGAUUUCCACAACAAUACCCAACAAAGUUCCGGUCUACCUGCUAAGCAAAACAAUUCCAUUAAUUAGAUCUGCUCUCUUCGGUUUCAUGUCUGUUGUGUGGGAGUUUCUGUAGGCUCGGGGAAGACUAUUGUCUAAUGAGUCCUGCAGGGUUGAAAAGUCGAGCUGUAAUGCAUUUGCUUUUGAACCUGAGCUGAAUGAUGCCCUUCCAUUCUGAGUUGUGAAGGUUAUUAGCACCCAGGAGGGGCUCUGUACUUCAGGAAUCAGAAACAUGAAGGUUUUUUACUGUGUAGCCCCCCUCCCCUCCACACACUCAUACUCAUGCCAACCAGAGCUAUACCAAUUAUUGAGACAUUUCUGCAUUUAGGGGGAAUGAAAAAUGAAGCCUUGUUCUGAUUUAAUCCUUUACCAGCAAACUGCUGCUAUCUAUUAACCCCCUGAUCUCUGGCCCAUGAAAGCAGAAACCAGAGAGACACAAGCACCUUCAGGUUCCAGGUCCUGCCAUUACUCAGAGCACACCGGUGCAACAGUAAUAAUGUCACACCCACACCCUUUGGCGAAAGUGUCUCAGACCUUUGGUUAAGUUCAGAGAUAAUGCAAGCAGGUGUAGCCUACAAGAUGAAUAAUCACACUUCUGUCACACUGAUGAAGACAGGGAUUCCUGACUGAAAACAGGGAGCAACACAUGGGACACAGCAUGGCAUAAUAGUGGCAAUAACAAAAAGUGUACCUCUACACUGUACACAAUGCACAACUGUAACAAAACAUGUGAGUUUGUCUGUUUGCUGCUUCUCUGUGUGAGUCUCAGGUAUUUACCCCAUUCAAUACCGUUUUCAAGGUCACUCUCCUCCUAGAACAGAACAAAGCUUUGUAGUGCAAUGAGAAAAUGCGUCUCCUGUAAAUAACUGUGAGCAGAAGUCAUGCCUUCUCAUUUUGAGUUGAUGUUUUUUGUCCCUUGCAAUCAUUAUUUUUAUUGGAGAGCCCGUGUUACCAGAGUCUUUUAAAGAUAUCCUAAUACUGCAUAUAUUAGUUUCAGUCAUUUCCAAAGGAUAAUGCAAAAUAUUUAAUGCAAAACAACAGGCAACCAUGAAGGCACAGCAGUGCUGAUAACUGUGUGUUUUUCUCCUUGAAAAUAAUGUGCUAUCACUUGAGAACCUGCCCCUGCUGUGUUUAAGUAGCAUUAUUCUUAAGUGAUGAAGCUUGCUUUCUGGGAAGAUUUUAUUUUGAUACACCAUUAUUAGAUUUGUCAUAAAAGGAAAUUAACCUAAAUUCAUUACACUGCAACAGACCUGUAGGACAGGGUGUUCACAGUAGGUGAAUGGGUAGAUUUCAAUCAAAAGUUCAGUGUUAGAUCCGUGUUGAAAUGCUCAGACAUUUCAUGUUGCCUGACCUUGACGCAUCAACACAGUCUCUGUCCUGGUCAAAGUAAUCCUCUUUCCUCUCAAUUAGGUCUUCCGUUUAAUGAAAAUGUAAUUUCAAUAUUACAGUCAUGCUGCCUGCCUGAAGACCAGCUAAGUGCUUUGAGUUUUGGAAAUCAACCUUUUUAAUAUGCUAAUUGUUAAGUUUUAUGCAAAUGAAUUUUAAUUGCCUAGAAAUUGGAUGCAGGCAGUAAUUUGUUAUUUAAUGGAAUGCUAGUUUAUUCCGAAGGUGGAAAGGGAGUUAACCCAUAUGUCUUGAGGCACUGACAUCAGCUCAGGAGCAGGAGCAUUCCAGAAUGUCGGAACACAGGUCCUCCCGUAUGGAAAGUGUAAUUUCUGUGGACAAUUCUUACAAGCCUGCACAAGUGGAAUGUGUAGGAAAUCUCGGGACGUUUUUUGACAUUUUAUUUCUUGCAUAUUUAAUCUAGCAAGUGCACUUAGGGACAGCGCAAUAGCAGGGGUGUUAGACACAGAUCGUCUCUGGAUCGAGGGAACACUUGGGUUCAGAUCACGGGGCUCACAUCCCCCCCAGAGGGCGGCCUCGUGGCAUCGGGGUGCUGGCAGCAGUGAGAGUGGGGUGGUGGUGGAUCAGGCAGGAGCUUGUGUAAGUGCUUUUAAAGGGAGCUAACCCAGGUCCUGCUUUUAAUGAACGUGGCACUCUGGUGUGUCACAGAUCACACCGUUCUUUAUUUUAUCCCCGUUUCUACAAAGUUUCACAAUGCUUUUUAUUCCACAUACUGUACUUCACAUCCAGGUUAUGCAGACUAAUUUUGCCUAAUGGAUAGUAUUGGUUUAAUGACUUUUUGAUGCAAUCAGUAGCUAUAUUUUUUGGCAAAGCCUUAAAUCAAACUGCACUCUGGUCCCCAGCAGAUCAUGGUUUUAUUUCUACAUCUGGCAGAUGUGAUCCACAAGGAGAACAAUGUAGUUCAGCUUCUCCUGUCACCAUGUGUGCUGUGCUGUGCCACUGUUUUCAUUGAGCAUUGCAGAAGUUCAUAUUCUAUUGUUUCAUUGCAAUUACGCUCAUUAGGCACCCGUUCUGUUUUUAUCUUUCAUAAUUCGGCAAUCGGUGGACUGCAUUCGCACAUGAACUCUGCCACCCCUUCCCAUGCGUGUGUGUGUGUCUGUAUAAUAUGGACACUUCACAGAUACCACAUAAAAAACACUGCCACCAUGGAGCCCUGAGAGAUCAUGAACAUCCCAGGGUGGAAGGAGAUAAUAAUGCCCUCAGGAUGGCUGAUGAGCUUGCAAAUCCUGCAAAGGCACAGCCAAGGUGAAGCGGUCAGUUAGUCCAAACGCCUGUAAUUCCCCUGCCCAUGAAGGAGCUGUAACUCGAGGUGAGCAAGAUCUCGAUAAAACACCUCUAGGGGUUUGUCACUUCAAGGGGUCCAACAUUUACUGAAAGCCUAUCUUGGAAUAAAUAUAGUUUCUGAAGUGACCACUGCUGGCAAGGGGUUUUUGACAGGAAGAAAAGGCAGACGAUUCAUGAUGCAGCGACAACUUCUGAAAGAAGCCAUCUCAAGCUGGCCGAACAAUAAGUGACCCACGGGAACUCUGGAGAAGAGCAGGUGGCCAGCUGUGCACAGCUAACAGAGCAAGAGUGGACAGGCACCACACGCUCGAGACCAACACAAGCCCAUCGCUGCCCAGGCUGCAGCCAGAGGAGGAUGAGCUAGGAAGCUAUUAGUGCCAAGCGCUCUGGCUUGAUUAAUGAUCCCAUCAACGUGGACAGAGCCGGCUUUCAUGCAGGAGUGGCCCGCCUGCUGAAUCAGCUGAAAGAGAAAGAAUUAUGGUGCGUUCCGCAGGGGUUUGCUGAAAAAUGUGCGUUACCUUUUUGGCAAACAGGAACUCUGUCAUUACAGCGAGUAUUAUGAUUGAAAUCUUCAUCGCAUUUAAUACCUAAUCUGUUGAAUGACAAUUCUGGCAGCUGUUUUACCAUCAUUUUCUCUAUAUGACAAUUGUUAAGCACUAUUUCUUUCAACCCAGGUCACUAACGAUGCCCUUGAUCCCUGGGAGUCUGGUAAGAAAUCAGUAGCCUGCACUUGAAUGCGCUCCCCAACAAGUCGGGAAAAAAACCUUAAAGAGUGCAGACUUCCAACCUAUAAAAGUACAAGAUAAUAUCUUAUUAAAUUAAGUUAAUUUGUAUUAAUUAAAAUGAAUGAACAUGUAAUAAAAGGCUUUUUGAAUAACUUAAAACACAUUUAGUAUUGGUUACAACACAAGGCAUGCUUCUAGUCAAUUUUUAAUUCUUCGAAGAGACUUUGCCAAUAUGACACAGAAAGGUUAUAAACCACAGGUACAUUUGGCCCAUGGAGCUUGUUUGUUUUCUAGCAGCUAGUUGAUCCAAGGAGCUCCUCCAGCUGCUCCUCCGUGUUUCUCCCAGUUCACUUGUCACUCCAGCCUGCUGCUCCACACGGCUGCCUGUGACCACCACCUUCUUCUGAAUUCCUGGAAGAACCACCCACAUCCGUGUGUCUGCACCAACACUUUGGGAAGCUCCUCUGUGUGCCCAUUCUGUCACGCCCGACUCUCCCCGGACUCUGGCUGCAGUCCGGCAGGGUGUGUCUGUCCCGCGCGCUGCUGUAUUGAGGUCUCUGCAGGGGCAAACACAUGGAAAGGGAACUUCAUGCGCUCCAUGUGCCAGAACAGCUCCCCUGUUUGCUCUUAUUGUCACAGUGCAAGAAUAUGUUUCUGCGCCUUCGUAAGCAACUCAAGGUCAGUGUGUGGGGGCAGUUUCAAUAGCCAACAAAGACUGGCAGCUGGAGGCAAUAAGUGUCGUUUAUUUGUGUAUCAUAAAUAGAAAUCUUGCUUAUUUUACAGAAAAUAAAUUGGGCAUUUAUUGUACUGUUAAUGUCAAGCACGUCUCUGAAUUCAUGUUCACAUUUUGUCAUUUUUUUAAAUAUUUGCUGCUGGUUAAGAAUUUGGAAUUCUUUGUUGUUUAGUGAAAAGAUUUCUACAGAGAUUCAUUUUAUUUAGACUCACGUGCUCUCUUCCAGUUUGCUUACUUUAUAUUUUGUUCCUGUGUAAAUUAAAAUCAAUUUUAAUUAAAUACACUUCACAAAAUAGAAACCACAACUAUUUUCUUCCAUAUUUGCACAUAAAUUGGGGGAUAUGAUUCUGUCCAAUAUGGUAAUUUUAGGAACAUUAGAAACAAACUAACCUUGAUCUGGCUUUUCAGAUUGCAGGCCUGGAGCAGUGUUUGUCAUUGCCUAGAACAGAGCAUGUCAGCAGCUCUCAGUUAAUCUGUGGGGAGGUGUUUCUCUUUGUUCCAUUGGUAGACUUGACAUCAGAACCCCCUGAGUGACUCAUGAAGAACUCAAGAGCAUGGAUUUGUUGAUUGUACAGGGAAUGAAUCCAACUGGAAAUUGUUCAGACUGGGAGCUUGAUCUUUACAGCACUUUGUGCAGUACUUGAGUAGGAACUCAUUUGUGUGCUCUAACUGACGUAAUUACCCAAAAAGCACAACUGACGGUGGUGUUUUUGGUGUAACAAGACAUGGGGUGACUGAAUAGGGCAGGCACAUCUGAGAUUUGAGAUUGUAAUUGAGAUGGAAUUUUUUGUUAUUUGAGGUAAAUGCCGCUCCGCCCCUUUCGUAUUUUAGUUGAUGUCAUGCACCUGUCCCCUGUUUAGUUUGUCUUUAUUUAA